CUUUGAUGUACUGAAUACAGAUAUAAACUAUUUCAUGAUUUUUCAUGACAUAUGAAUCAAGUUCAAGGUAUUCAUUGAAACAAUUGUACACAAUAGUGAAAAUAUAUGUACAACUUGACAGAAAAAAAUGGAGAACGUUCAACAUCUUUCAAGUGUUUAAAAAAGGUACACACUUUGAGCAACAUGAGUGAUGUGACAUUAAACACAACAAUCAUACAAACCUGUGAAGCUGUAGAUCGAGCAUGGAGAGGCAAUGUCAUCUGGUAACCAAAAUCUGUAAAAUCACUUUCAACAUUUGAUGAAGAACUCCGUAACUCCAUCUGAGAAAGAGAGUAAAUUAACUAAGAAAUCGAUAGAAACACUUUUGGUAAAGUAAACACUUUCUAAAAUUUUAUUUCAUGCUUGAUAUCUACAUAUAGCUAUACUUACACAUCACUUUGAAUAGUUCGUACUUUAUCCUUAA